ensembl:lncRNA
AUAGAGGUGGGUGGAUUGAACGCUGAUAUUGCUUUUGGAUGGUACUAGCAUAAUAUACGGUGGCCCUGAGAGGCCAAACGGACUGCAACGGAAAUAGGGAAAAACAAAACAGAAAUAGGAAGAACGACAACAGAAAUAGGAAAAAAACACAGGGGAAGUGUUUCUGGGGAGACAAUAACCCGACGGACCAGUUGCAGGAACCGAAAAAAUGUAGAAAGCUGGGGCCCGAGGAAGAGAAGGAGUAGCAGCAACAGCUGCAGGCAAGCCGAGCUGGCGGUGAGGAGCUGAAAAGCUGCCCACAUAAGCACUGAUGUAACCGAUUCUUAUCAAGGCAGAAGUGGGGCCUUCUUCCUGGUGAAACGGUGACUAACGUCCAGCCAUCGAUCCGUCAGUUCGUCUGCGGUGGCGGGUGAUGCGUCUGGUGAUAGAAGACUUUCUCUGCUUGUGUUUUUAUGUGCGAGUGUGCAACAGAGUCAUCAGUGCACACAUUGUGUUCUGUUUUUUUACGUUCUAGAUUGCAUUAAAAGAUGUCGAUUUUGAGAUUAUUUCAUUUCUUACUUGUUUAUUUUAAUGUAUUCUAGAAAUGAUUUGACUUUUUUUUUACACAUUCAGGCAUUUAGCUCAAGCACUGGCAUAAAGUUUGUCUGCUUAAAAAAAUAAAUGCAUGAAGUUGCAAUUCUUUAAUUUAAACUGACCUUCAAAGUACCUUUUCAAGUAACUUGACCAAAACUGGUGCUGAUCAUAGUUUGUAUCAUCUUAAUUGUGCUUCAUGUUUUUUGUUACCCUCUGCACCCAGAUAAAGUUUUUAUGUACUGCUGUAUCCUGGUUUUUAUCAGGGUUUCAUUGCCAUGCUUAUGAAAAGCAGGAAAUACAGUAGUUUUUAAAUAUAAGUGAGAUAUAUAUAUAUAUAUAUAAACACCCAGACUGUUCAUGCAGUGACCACUUUCAUUUGUUUCCUAGUAAUCAAUAUAUAUAUAACUAAAUAAACAUGCAGAAUUAUUCAAAAUAAAUUAUACUUUUCUUUUUUAAAGAGAUGAUAUAGUGUGAUUUUUUUAGCUCCUGCUUAGAUCAUUUAUAUCACACAUUUUUUCUAUAGCCUGCAGUCGGAGCAGGGCAGCAGCGGCCUGAUGUUA